UCGUUAAGAGACACGUUGGAGGUCGCGAAGAUACACUUUGAACAUGGACAACGUGGACGAAGAAGACCGAUACCGGCAAUAUCGGAAAUUACGAGACUAUUAAAUAGCGUUGCUGUACAUGCUAUUAGGCUGCGUUUGGAAUAUAUGAGAAAUAAUAUAAAUUUGAAAAAUCUAAAGAAUAUUAUAAUACGUUACAAAUAUAUUUUGCAAACUUUAUAAUAUUUCUACAAGGUUAUUGAAACAUUGUCGGCGAAAUAUUACAUUUGAAUGUCUCUGAAUUGUCUCUGCAAUAUUACAUUGCAAUCUGCAAUGUUUCUGAAAUGUUUGGUGCUGUAUGGGAUUGAUUCUCGAACUCAUGCGAAUUUGCUUGCCUAUGAAACGGACCAUAUUUUAUGUAGUGUGAUUGGUUGUCCAAACACUGGUUGUGAAAUCAAACGCAAUUUACGUGAUUACGAGUAUAAGAUUUUGUGUAAAAGUAGAACAAACUUAACUUUUAAUUCAAUAUAUUUCAUUAUGGGUUAAUUUGUAUUUUAAUUAAGAUAAAUUUUCAAAGCUGUUAACUUAGUUUAAUAAAAGGGUGUAACUUACCCAACCCUGGUUCUUUUCAAUAGUGCCCGCCUUUGACUAUGUAACUAUGGACUAUGCCAGUUACCUCCACUUUUUCUAUUCUAACAUGUGAUCAACAUCACGCGUGCUGCCAUAGGUUAAAAUCGAAAUACAUAGUCAGAUUUUCCUAUAUAAAAAAAGGCGUAUUAAAUCGAUAGUCUAAAGUCUCGAAGUAUUGUCGCUUUUCCGAGAUGGUUAUUGGCUUUUACGCUUGUACGAUAAGACACGCUUCAGUCGUGUUAUUUGCAGCUGUUAAAUCAUGCGAAUUUUUGUAGAGAGAGAGCAAAUGGUGCGCGCUUGUGUUGUCUAGUAAGUAGAAUAAAAUAAACAUAUAUCAUAAAGUUUAUCUAGUUUCAAUUUUUCCCGUCUGUCAUAUCUGCAUGUCCCGGCGAUGCAGCCUACAUGAAAAUAACUGCAGUCAGUAAUGAUAGUUAUUGGCAUAGGCAAAAUCGUUAUUUAUUGAAAUUUAUUGAGCACAAUUAGUUCUCCUUAUAUUUUACACAAGUAAAUCUAUAUUAAAAGUUGUUUUUGAAAUUGUGUUUACAUAGUAUCUUAAGUUUAUCCUUUACACACACAAACACACGUGUACAUAUGCGUAUGCUCGUAUAUUUGAUGUAUGUUUUAUAUUUAAAUUUAUUCUCUGUAAUACCCACACGAUGCAUACUAACAAUAUAUAUCAAAGUCUUAUGUUACACUGGCGCAAUAAUAAUUAUAGUUAUCUGACAAAAUACGGAAUCUCUGAUUUUGGCGCACAGCUACCGCCACUGUCGUUUAUUCCCUCUUUUUCUUUUUAUUAUUAUUACUUAUUAUUCACGUACGCGAGAGCCGCGAACUGCUCUCGCUAUUAUUACUUUACGGAGUAUUUUAAAAUUUAGAUUACAAAUAGAACGCCCCGACUCACGUCGAGCCGUUCGAACAUAUUUAAUCGUUGACUUUUAUCAAAGGGACAAUAAUCUCGUCGUUUAAAGUGAACCAGAAAGCUCGCAUACGUCAGAACACAUCAAUAUUUUCAUAUUUUCGCUUAUUUGUCGCCGUACUUGUCUUCUGUCGCAUCCGAAAAAACUGUUUGUCUUUUUUUUUCAUGCAAUGCAUACGGAUCACUUUCUUCGUACAACUUAAAGCUAGAUGGCUAUGUCUCAUGCUAAACGUACGAUCGAAAGAGUACGAAAAAAUCAUAAAUAAAUAUACAAUAUUAUAUAUAAAAAAUACCUCUACGCUUUACGCACUCUCGUUCUUUAAUCAUUGUGACACCAAGUAUCAGCUUAUCGUUAACGGGGGGGGGAGGGGAGGCAGGCAUUUUUCUUUAUACGCUCUUCCACUUUUUCCUCUCUCUUAAACCACCGCAUCCUGGUGAAUGUGAGAUCUCUGAUUCCUCUAACAUCUACGUCGUAUAGUUUGAGACAUUGAGCGAAUACAGUGGAGUCUGUUAAUCGAUAGUGCGUUAUAUUACUUACUAUUUCGGGAAAAGUGAUUCAAUGACAAAGAUUUUAAAUGCAAACGGAGUCUCUGCGUAUUGUGUGAUUAAAAAAAUAGAAUGUAAAUAAUAUAAAAUUGUAUAUAAAAAUUGCUCGCGGAUCGGUGCUAUCCGGAAUUUGUAGGGCAACGCAUAAUGUACGUCAAAAUACCACUAACAAACGACAUUCGAAAGAUCAACCUCUACCAUAAUAAAGAUUCCACUCGGAACACAAAGCUGCUUAGAAGUCCGCGGAACAUCCAUCCGAUCUCUACCUAACAAUGCCGCACCACUUCGGAAUGUUUCGCGUCGUUCGAGGCUUACUUAUGAAUCGUCUGAAGCCCGGUAAGGUCGAGGCACUUACCAGCUGGCACGAUAUGGUAGACGCACGGCUCGAGCUGAGUGCCCUGGUCAU